rnacentral:rRNA from 1 species
CCUACGGGGGGCAGCAGUGGGGAAUAUUGCACAAUGGGGGAAACCCUGAUGCAGCGAUGCCGCGUGAGUGAAGAAGUAUUUCGGUAUGUAAAGCUCUAUCAGCAGGGAAGAAAAAAGACGGUACCUGACUAAGAUGCCCCUGCUAACUACGUGCCAGCAGCCGCGGUAAUACGUAGGGGGCAAGCGUUAUCCGGAUUUACUGGGUGUAACGGGAGCGUAGACGGUUUGGCAAGUCUGAAGUGAAAGCCCAGGGCUUAACCCUGGGACUGCUUUGGAAACUGUUAGACUAGAGUGCUGGAGAGGUAAGUGGAAUGCGUAGUGUAGCGGUGAAAUGCAUAGAUAUUAGGAAGAACACCAGUGGCGAAGGCGGCUUACUGGACAGUAACUGACGUUGAGGCUCGAAAGCGUGGGGAGCAAACAGGAUUAGAUACCCGAGUAGUC